GCCUAGCUAGCUCAAUCGGCAGAGCGUGAGACUCUUAAUCUCAAGGUUGCGGGUUCAACCCCCGCGUUGGGCU
rnacentral:tRNA from 1 species